GAUGAACGCUAGCUACAGGCUUAACACAUGCAAGUCGAGGGGAAACGCCAUCGAAAGCUUGCUUUUGAUGGGCGUCGACCGGCGCACGGGUGAGUAACGCGUAUCCAACCUGCCCAUCACUUGGGAAUAACCUUGCGAAAGUAAGACUAAUACCCAAUGAUAUCCCACGAAGGCAUCGGAAUGGGAUUAAAGAUUUAUCGGUGAUGGAUGGGGAUGCGUCUGAUUAGCUUGUUGGCGGGGUAACGGCCCACCAAGGCAACGAUCAGUAGGGGUUCUGAGAGGAAGGUCCCCCACAUUGGAACUGAGACACGGUCCAAACUCCUACGGGAGGCAGCAGUGAGGAAUAUUGGUCAAUGGGCGAGAGCCUGAACCAGCCAAGUAGCGUGCAGGAAGACGGCCCUAUGGGUUGAAAACUGCUUUUAGAAGGGAAUAAAGUGGGUCACGUGUGACUUUUUGCAUGUACCUUAUGAAUAAGGACCGGCUAAUUCCGUG
rnacentral:rRNA from 1 species